rnacentral:rRNA from 1 species
UAGAGUUUGAUCAUGGCUCAGAACGAACGCUGGCGGCAGGCCUAACACAUGCAAGUCGAACGCUGUAGCAAUACAGAGUGGCAGACGGGUGAGUAACGCGUGGGAACGUGCCUUUCGGUUCGGAAUAACUCAGGGAAACUUGAGCUAAUACCGGAUACGCCCUUCGGGGGAAAGAUUUAUUGCCGAAAGAUCGGCCCGCGUCCGAUUAGCUAGUUGGUGUGGUAAUGGCGCACCAAGGCGACGAUCGGUAGCUGGUCUGAGAGGAUGAUCAGCCACACUGGGACUGAGACACGGCCCAGACUCCUACGGGAGGCAGCAGCGGGGAAUAUUGGACAAUGGGCGCAAGCCUGAUCCAGCCAUGCCGCGUGAGUGAUGAAGGCCCUAGGGUUGUAAAGCUCUUUCGCCAGGGACGAUAA